UUACAGCCAUAUCAUGUUGAAAAACUGGUUCUCAUACAAUCACCAAAGUUAAACAACAUCAAGCUUGGUCAGUACUGAAAUGAGUGACCGUUUAGGAAUACCAGGUGCUGUAAU